rnacentral:rRNA from 1 species
AGAGUUUGAUCCUGGCUCAGAUUGAACGCUAGCGGGAUGCUUUACACAUGCAAGUCGAACGGCAGCACGAGAGAGCUUGCUCUCUUGGUGGCGAGUGGCGGACGGGUGAGUAAUAUAUCGGAACGUGCCCAGUAGCGGGGGAUAACUACUCGAAAGAGUGGCUAAUACCGCAUACGCCCUACGGGGGAAAGGGGGGGAUCGCAAGACCUCUCACUAUUGGAGCGGCCGAUAUCGGAUUAGCUAGUUGGUGGGGUAAAGGCUCACCAAGGCAACGAUCCGUAGCUGGUUUGAGAGGACGACCAGCCACACUGGGACUGAGACACGGCCCAGACUCCUACGGGAGGCAGCAGUGGGGAAUUUUGGACAAUGGGGGAAACCCUGAUCCAGCCAUCCCGCGUGUAUGAUGAAGGCCUUCGGGUUGUAAAGUACUUUUGGCAGAGAAGAAAAGGCAUCCCCUAAUACGGGAUGCUGCUGACGGUAUCUGCAGAAUAAGCACCGGCUAACUACGUGCCAGCAGCCGCGGUAAUACGUAGGGUGCAAGCGUUAAUCGGAAUUACUGGGCGUAAAGCGUGUGUAGGCGGUUCGGAAAGAAAGAUGUGAAAUCCCAGGGCUCAACCUUGGAACUGCAUUUUUAACUGCCGAGCUAGAGUAUGUCAGAGGGGGGUAGAAUUCCACGUGUAGCAGUGAAAUGUGUAGAUAUGUGGAGGAAUACCGAUGGCGAAGGCAGCCCCCUGGGAUAAUACUGACGCUCAGACACGAAAGCGUGGGGAGCAAAAAGGAUUAGAUNCCCUGGUAGUCCACGCCCUAAACGCUUAAAGGGCGUCGGGGCCUGUAGGCCUUAGUAGCGCAGCUCACCCGCGAAGUUGACCGCCCGGGGAGUUCGGUCGCAAGAUUAAAACUCAAAAGGAAUUGACGGGGACCCGCACAAGCGGUGAGAUGAUGUGGAUUAAUUCGAUGCAGCGCGAAAAACCUUACCUACCCUUGACAUGUCUGGAAUGCCGAAGAGAUUUGGCAGUGCUCGCAAGAGAACCGGAACACAGGUGCUGCAUGGCUGUCGUCAGCUCGUGUCGUGAGAUGUUGGGUUAAGUCCCGCAACGAGCGCAACCCUUGUCAUUAGUUGCUACGCAAGAGCACUCUAAUGAGACUGCCGGUGACAAACCGGAGGAAGGUGGGGAUGACGUCAAGUCCUCAUGGCCCUUAUGGGUAGGGCUUCACACGUCAUACAAUGGUCGGGACAGAGGGUCGCCAACCCGCGAGGGGGAGCCAAUCUCAGAAACCCGAUCGUAGUCCGGAUCGCAGUCUGCAACUCGACUGCGUGAAGUCGGAAUCGCUAGUAAUCGCGGAUCAGAAUGUCGCGGUGAAUACGUUCCCGGGUCUUGCACUCACCGCCCGUCA